CACUGAGCGAGGCCGGGGUCGAGCCCACGUCCUCAUGGACACUAGCGGGGUUUGUUACCACCGAGCCAUGGCGGGAACUCCAUUAGCUCUCCCACCCCUCCUGAGCUCUGUGAUGUCGGGGUCCUGUGUGACCUCACAGCGGGCUGGGCAGGCCUUCCAUUGGCUGGAGCAGUAGGAGAGGCAGUGGCCAGUUUCUUGUCUGAUCCGAAAGCUGUUGUCCACUCGGCCUGUGAUUCUGAGUGAGACCCGUGGCUGGAGCUCAGCCGGGGACGUGUGCGACGGGUGAGGCCCGGGCCCCCUCGGCCCGGCAGCUCCCUUCCUGGCGCUGACUACGGCUUCGGCCUGUCCUCGAGCCCCCUGUGCUGACCUGCUGUCCCCAGGGCCCCUUGACCCCUCGCCAGCCUGCAGCUGCGACGAUGAGAUAUGCCCCGGAAUUCAAGAAGUCCCCCUCGCACCUCCUGAAGAAAUUUGCAGUGUGUGACAUCCCUCUGUACGACAUAUGCGACUACAACGUCACCAGAGACCGCUGCAAGGAGCUGGGGUGCUGCUUUUACAAGGGCGUCUGCUACGAGAAAGCCGUUCCCUCCUACGUGCAGUUCUUCUCCGUCUUGAUCGUGCUCGUCGCCGGGGCCUUGGUCAUCACCAUUAUUUACAGAGUUGUCCAAGAGAGCCGGAGAGAGAAGGAGGUCCCCACGGAGAUUCCUCUGUCGUCCAAGCCCAGCGCUAAAUCCGAGCCCGCGCCCCCGGGCGAGCAGCCUGCGUCAGCGGCGUCGGCGGCGUCCAAGGUCUCCAGCUCCGAGCCGGAGAUGCCCUUGGAGGGCGAGGAGGACGUAACACUGACACUUGCAGAUGAAGAAACUGAGGAUUGAGGGCGAGACGGCGAGCGGGUGCAAGUUGGCAGAAAUCUCCGAAGAGGCACAGCUGGCCACAGCUGUGAGAUGUGUGAUGGAAUGACUGCCCAUGGGAAAAAUAAAGGGAGGAAACAGAAGCAUAGAGGUGCCUGUGUCUCAGCUGAUUCCUCUCCAGAUGGUGUUAAAAGUUGCACCUUGUAUCCUGUGCUGCCUCUUUCUUAAUAAUUACCUUCCGGCGUUCCUGUUGUGGCGCAGUGGAAACGAAUCCGACUACGAACCACGAGGGUGCGGGUUCGAUCCCUGGCCUCGCUCA